UACGUAGGGGGCAAGCGUUGUCCGGAUUUAUUGGGCGUAAAGAGCUCGUAGGCGGCUUGUUGCGUCGACCGUGAAAACCCGGGGCUCAACUUCGGGCUUGCGGUCGAUACGGGCGGGCUAGAGUUCGGUAGGGGAGACUGGAAUUCCUGGUGUAGCGGUGAAAUGCGCAGAUACCAGGAGGAACACCGGUGGCGAAGGCGGGUCUCUGGGCCGAUACUGACGCUGAGGAGCGAAAGCGUGGGGAGCAAACAGG
rnacentral:rRNA from 1 species